rnacentral:lncRNA from 1 species
UUUCGGUGGCGGUAAAAUUAAAGGUUUUUUCAUUUUGCGUCUUUCGUAAGUGAUUUAGGGGUUUUGUAUUUUUAUCUGGAAUGGUUGAUGUAUGUUGAUCCCUUUUAUUGACUUGUGUUUCUACUUUAUUUUACCUUGCGAAUGUUAGAACUUCCUAUAUGCCUUGUAAAUCUGAGUUAGAAGGAAAAGAGAUCUUGGUUACAAGUAGACAC